rnacentral:rRNA from 1 species
GGUGUUGCAUGGCUGUCGUCAGCUCGUGUCGUGAGAUGUUGGGUUAAGUCCCGCAACGAGCGCAACCCUUAUUGUUAGUUGCCAUCAUUUAGUUGGGCACUCUAGCGAGACUGCCGGUGACAAACCGGAGGAAGGUGGGGAUGACGUCAAAUCAUCAUGCCCCUUAUGACCUGGGCUACACACGUGCUACAAUGGGAAGUACAACGAGUCGCUAGACCGCGAGGUCAUGCAAAUCUCUUAAAGCUUCUCUCAGUUCGGAUUGCAGGCUGCAACUCGCCUGCAUGAAGCCGGAAUCGCUAGUAAUCGCGGAUCAGCACGCCGCGGUGAAUACGUUCCCGGGUCUUGUACACAC